CAUAGAUAAGAACAGAGUGGCGACACUCCCAUAAGACUCCGUUGUAAAACAUGGCGGACAGAACUUCCGGGUUAUGGAGCCCUCUAUAGUUCCAAACAUUCCUCCCGUGGAGUCGGACCCCGUUUAUUUCAAUGGCAGCAUGACGAGAAACUCCUGAGCUAAGGUGAUCCUGAUAGAGCCCUGUGAAGUUUCUGCUGUCAAAAGACUCCACAAGUGAGUUGCUUCCUUAGGUCCUCCACACUCACCCUGUCAUGACUGGCCCCUAGCACACUGGUCCCUGGAUCACCUUCCCCUGUCAAAGAGGCUUCUUCAGUGGCAGCCCCCGACUGACUGGCCCCUGGAAGUCCGCUGACCUCUCCUUCAUCCUCUAUCUGCAUACUGCCUCCUGGUACUUCCCUAUCAUUUUCAGAUUCUGCCUCAAUUUCUCCCUCAUUCUCUGUAAUAAUAACAAGGUGUUGUUGCAGUUAAUAUGCAUUUAUGCUGCCUUUACAUUAGCACCUACUUUCAUCUCCUGUUUAAGGGUACACUACACUCCAAUUAAACAAAACUGUAUCUUUAUGUGAAACAAAUCAUCUGCCACACUCCUGGACUAACAACAUGUACAUAAAGUUUUUUUUUUUUUUAGCAAUAGAUGAAGAUGCCUGUAGAUUAUCCAUGACAUUGCCCAGUUCAUUCUGCAAUGGAUUAUUUCACAAGCCAUCAGUUUUUUUUUAAAAUAUGGACAGGAAAUAGGAUCCAGCCAUGAAUCGGUGCAUACAUAGGUUAACAUAUUCAGAGUUUAUUCAACCAAUUGAGAUCAGCUGUUCUAGAACUGAAUACUAGUUUCCCAUAUUCAGAGUUCAUUGUUAGACUGAAAGUUUGUUGAACCUCUGGAAUAGCUCUCAGGGCUGUUAUAAUGGUGACUGUUGUUAUUCCUCAACCAGGCAUCUCAGACCAUCAUUGGGUCCUUCACUAAAGAUGUGAAUGGCAGAUAAGAAUAAUAACAAUAAGAAUAACUAUAUUUAAUUGUCUGUCAGCUCAUUUAUUAUUUGCAAAAGAAUUAAAAAGCGUGAUGGCUGUAGGUAUGUAGGAUCUUCUGUAUGUUUCUGUCCUGCAUCGAAGAGAGAGGAGCCGUCCACCACUGUUUUUUUGUUUUAUCAAGGUGUUAUGGAGUGGAUGAACCGGGUUAUUCAUGAUGGCCUUGAACAUCUUCAGUGUGCAUCUCUCCACCAGCUCCUCCAGUGUGUCCAACCACAACUUGAAGAGUUGUGUACAUAGUUGUACCUGCAGUAAAUCUCAUUUGGCUUUUUUAACCGUUUCAUAGCCCCACCUUUGUUCUGCUGUCCUAAUGCUGAAAUAUGAUCUCUGUUAAAUAAAACUGUUCUUCCUUAAUGCCAGAUUUAUCAUUUUCUGUGAUGUAAGAGCCUUCAUACAUUUUCUUAUAUUUUUUUCUUGUUCUCACAGACACACAAUUGCUCUUAUUGUCACAUUCAUCGUUCAUAAAAUGUUUAACUGAAAACUAUCAUUUAUCAUCAUUGUCCAAUGUCAGGGAGUAUUCACAAAUAACCCACAUUAAUCUCAUGUAGCUACAUAAGAGAUGCAUUGCACUAGAUUACAGUUUAGUUGCUAAUUUAUAAUUUUCUUCCCAUAGAAGAACAUGACAGCAGAGGCUGUGUUUGGAACUAUUGAGCAUAGACAUAUAUACAUAGA